UCUGCCCAAGCGGAGAAGGAUGAGAAGCUUCGACUAAGGUUCGACUCGAGCGCCAGCGAGAGAGCGUUGCCGCAGGCAACGACCUGAAGGGCGAAGCGCGCAGCGCUGAGUAAUCCUUCCCCCACCACCA
rnacentral:sRNA from 1 species